AUGGAUAAAAAAAACUCUGUAAGGCUCAUUGAAGCCAUCGAGCAAUUGAACCCAGAGGCCACUGUAAAGCUCACUCAAGCUAUUGAGAAAUUGAUCCAGGAGCUCAAGGAAAAGUCACCUUUCGAUGCGCUAUCUGAGCGUAAGAAGUCAUUCAUUGAAGCUUCAAAAGCGUUUACGCUGUUUGCCGGCGCCGGUUUAAAUGCGAUGAAUGCGUUCGCUAUCACUUUGGCUUACAUGUCAAUGCAUUCGAUGAAUGUCAACGCAGAUGCUGCUAACACUACUUCAACAGCCGCUCCUCCUACUGAGAGUGCUACUUCUCCUCCCAAUAUGAUUCAAUCUUUUCUUAUCUUGGGAACAAUGUUUUGUUUCCUUUUCACAAGCUGCGCUACAGCAGUGGCUCAUGCCACUGUACAUCGCACAAAGUGGUUCUCCAUGCUCGUGGUGAUUAUGAUCCUGGAAGUCAUUCUCUUGAAUGUCACAUGCGCGCUUUAUUGCUACCUACUUACGGAGGGGGUCUUCUGCAUCAUUGCUGCUGCUCUAUUGUUUUUCUCGUUGGUUUUCAUGCUUGGGUUUAUUACUAUCGGCUUCCAUGGUUGA
rnacentral:rRNA from 1 species